rnacentral:rRNA from 1 species
UGGGGAAUUUUGGACAAUGGGCGAAAGCCUGAUCCAGCAAUGCCGCGUGUGUGAAGAAGGCCUUCGGGUUGUAAAGCACUUUUGUCCGGAAAGAAAUCCUUGGCUCUAAUACAGUCGGGGGAUGACGGUACCGGAAGAAUAAGCACCGGCUAACUACGUGCCAGCAGCCGCGGUAAUACGUAGGGUGCAAGCGUUAAUCGGAAUUACUGGGCGUAAAGCGUGCGCAGGCGGUUUGCUAAGACCGAUGUGAAAUCCCCGGGCUCAACCUGGGAACUGCAUUGGUGACUGGCAGGCUAGAGUAUGGCAGAGGGGGGUAGAAUUCCACGUGUAGCAGUGAAAUGCGUAGAGAUGUGGAGGAAUACCGAUGGCGAAGGCAGCCCCCUGGGCCAAUACUGACGCUCAUGCACGAAAGCGUGGGGAGCAAACAGGAUUAGAUACCCUGGUAGUCCACGCCCUAAACGAUGUCAACUGUUGUGGGAUCAUUUCUAGUAACGUAGCUAACGCGUGAAGUUGACCGCCUGGGGAGUACGGUCGCAAGAUUAAAACUCAAAGGAAUUG